rnacentral:rRNA from 1 species
UUUAAAGAGAGUUUGAUCCUGGCUCAGGACGAACGCUGGCGGCGUGCCUAAUACAUGCAAGUCGAACGAACGGAGGAAGAGCUUGCUCUUCCAAAGUUAGUGGCGGACGGGUGAGUAACACGUGGGCAACCUGCCUGUAAGCUGGGGAUAACUCCGGGAAACCGGGGCUAAUACCGAAUGAUAG